UAGGGAAUAUUGGUCAAUGGAUGCAAGUCUGAACCAGCCAUGCCGCGUGCAGGAAGAAGGCCUUCUGGGUUGUAAACUGCUUUUGCCAGGGGAUAAAAUAGUUCUGCGGAACAAAUUGAAGGUACCUGGUGAAUAAGCCACGGCUAACUACGUGCCAGCAGCCGCGGUAAUACGUAGGUGGCAAGCGUUGUCCGGAUUUAUUGGGUUUAAAGGGUGCGUAGGCGGUCUUAUAAGUCAGUGCUGAAAUAUCCCAGCUUAACUGGGAGGGUGGCAUUGAUACUGUAGGACUUGAGUAAAGUUGAGGUUGGCGGAAUUGACGGUGUAGCGGUGAAAUGCUUAGAUAUCGUCAAGAACACCUAUUGCGAAGGCAGCUAACUAAGCUUUAACUGACGCUGAGGCA
rnacentral:rRNA from 1 species